AAACAGAAAGCUGGACAUUUAUGAUUUUGCAUUCAUGGUCUAAUUUAGGAGAAAUGCAAGAAAUAGAAUGAACAGUAAGGCAAACAUUAAAUUCAGACCAGUUCAGGAAUAUUAGCUUCUUUUGUUAUUAUCAACAGAAAUUCUUAGUACUUCCUGGGAAUUCCUACGUACAUACCAAAAAGUAGCCACAGGACUGAUUACAGGUUGAAGGCUUAUUUUGGCAUUUGAUCUAUGAGGCACGGAAUUUUUUUCACGUUUCACUUCUAAGCCUACUCAGGGCAAUUGAGAGAAGAUCUGAACUCAGGUACACGUGCUCUACUGAAUAUGGAUCAACACUCACUGAUAACAUACAGCAUAGAUGAUGGAGGUAUCAGCGUGAGAAGGAAUAUUAACAAAAAGCUUCCUUUUAAAGAGAAACCUGGGACCGAAGGAAGAAAGGCUGUAAUCAAGGCUGAAUUGCGGCACACAGAAGACAUACCAUUAUAGAAUGCGAAGGAACUCAGGCAUGCCAUGCAUUACUGUCACAAAACUAUACACAUGAACUGAAAUGAAACAAAAUCUGCACCUUAGUUUUUGCUUUCAUAAAUUAAGUCUUAGAUAUUAUACCGCCAUCUAAACUCAGGGCAGAUGAAACUCCCUAUCCCUUACAGAUAUGUGAUCUAUUUACUAUAAUAGCAUUUCAUAUAUCCAUCACAUAAGAAAGACUUCUAUGAAUGUAUCAGACUGAAAAGCUAUUUAAAUGCCACGAGUAUUUUACGGAAUGAAAAAAAAAUGUCUAUGGCAAGUAAAUAAAUCUCAUGGUGGAACAACAUUUUUCAGAAAUACAUAAUCAUAUAAAAUAAGUCAUGCAAGAAACUUUUAAGUUCUCAUAUCAUAGUGUCUGAGCCUUAAGGAACAAAAUUACAAACACCUUAUAAACCAUAUUCUACAGAGUGAAAUACUCAACUAAUAAAUACUGUUUGCUGAAUGAAGAAUUGAAAAGCAUUAGUUUUCAGAUUUCCACCUAAUAACACAAUGAAAUGAGAUCUUCAAGCAAUUGCUCAGUUUCCAGGAUUGUCCAUUUGGUAUGUUACGUAAGCACUCAUUCAAUGAGUUUAUAAGAUGUUAAAAGGAAUUAAUGCAUACACACUUGCUAACCUACACGUAGUGAUGUUAUUUUCCUUCCUGACGUUUAGUGCAGAGGAUUCCCACAAUUGGAUUCCACUACUUCCUCCACUGACAAACUACCUAGACCACAGUCAGGAUGCUUAUUUAGUCACAUAAACAAACAAGACAGACAAUAAAGAUAAACAAUUUGGCUAAAAAUAGUUUGUCUCAUCUGCGAAAUAGAUGUCAUUCUUAAAAAAGUAACCACACACACAAAAAAAAAACCGACACAAAUCUAUAAAUCUAGUAUGCUGACUAGAACAACUUACAUAAAAAUUAACUCAUACUUCACAUUUAAACCAUUAACCGACAUUAAUUUAAAGAGUUAACUUCAAUUUGUAUAUUUUGUGGAGGGGUUGCAUUCUGUGAAUGCACAACACGCACUCCAAACUCAGUCUCUACAUUCCUGUAAUGAGAUAAAAUACAAUGCCCUAGCUUUUUUAAGUGCUAGGAAAACAGAAGUCUGAGUCUUUCACCAAAGAGGAACAGAUGGGUUGACUGGGGGUACAUAAAAGACAGAAGAGUCAUAAAUUCGUACUCCAUUUAAAAAGGGCCACAUUCAGUGGCAGCAGCAAAUUUAAUUGAUUAAAUUAUGGUGCUCAAUCGCUGCAUAACAUCAGUUUGCAAUCCAAAUUUUGGUUAACAGGACUAGCAAAGAACAGAUUAAAACAGUUUAGACAGGUAGAAUCAAAGCCCUUCAUUUCAGGAACUGGUGAGCCUUUGCUUUUUCAGCUUUGUAUCCUCAGAUAUUCUCCCAAAUUUCCUCAGAAUAAAGAACUUCACACUUUAUUAGUGGUAUUAGUGGGAAACAAAGAUAUGCAUGUCAGCCUUGUUUUGGGACUACAAUUUCAAGCCACACAGUACAAGGCCGGAGACAUUGACUCCUCUAGGUUUUACAUCAUGCUUUAUUUUAGACGAGGAUAUAUCAUUUUUUUCUUCUUUUUAAUUAAAUGCUGCCUCCUCCCAUUUGAAGGCUGUUCUCUUUUUUGUACAAGCAACAAAAUGCCUAAUUGAAAAUUACAGAACCAACUACAUACCACUACAGGAAAGGGUGAUAGCUGGCAGUCUCUCAGAAUAAGGGCAGUGAGGACUGUUAGCCUUUGGUGGGCCCCAUUUCACCUCCUUGUUUUGUAACCUGGAGUGGAAAGUUCAUUUCCCUCUUAUCUUCCUGCGCAUUUUCCCACUGCAGCCAUUUGUAGAGGUACCAAUGCCUGCUGCUUUUGUAAAAACAAGCAAAUAGCUCUCAUGUUUAGAUUACACAGCAAGUCAACUUGAGGAGAGAGGAAGCAAAAAUACCAGAGUUUAAGUGAGGCCGUGGCUGUGGUAAAUGGAAAAAAGCACCAUUCUCACAACAGUAUCAGUGUUUGGUA
rnacentral:lncRNA from 7 species